rnacentral:rRNA from 1 species
AACGCUGGCGGCGUGCUUAACACAUGCAAGUCGAACGAAGCACUUUCUUACGAUCCCUUCGGGGUGACGAGUUUGUGACUGAGUGGCGGACGGGUGAGUAACGCGUGGGUAACCUGCCUUAUACAGGGGGAUAACAGUUGGAAACGGCUGCUAAUACCGCAUAAGCGCACAGUAUCGCAUGAUACAGUGUGAAAAACUCCGGUGGUAUAAGAUGGACCCGCGUCUGAUUAGCUAGUUGGUGAGGUAACGGCUCACCAAGGCGACGAUCAGUAGCCGAUCUGAGAGGAUGAACGGCCACAUUGGGACUGAGACACGGCCCAGACUCCUACGGGAGGCAGCAGUGGGGAAUAUUGCACAAUGGGCGAAAGCCUGAUGCAGCGACGCCGCGUGAGCGAUGAAGUAUUUCGGUAUGUAAAGCUCUAUCAGCAGGGAAGAUAAUGACGGUACCUGACUAAGAAGCACCGGCUAAAUACGUGCCAGCAGCCGCGGUAAUACGUAUGGUGCAAGCGUUAUCCGGAUUUACUGGGUGUAAAGGGAGCGUAGGCGGUCUUGCAAGUCUGAUGUGAAAGCCCGGGGCUCAACCGCGGGAUUGCAUUGGAAACUGUAGGACUUGAGUAUCGGAGAGGUAAGUGGAAUUCCUAGUGUAGCGGUGAAAUGCGUAGAUAUUAGGAGGAACACCAGUGGCGAAGGCGGCUUA